rnacentral:circRNA from 1 species
ACUGCACAUGCAGACUGUCACCUGCCACUAUUUCCUCCCUUCAGAUGGGUGAAGGAUGCCCUACUUUCAAGUCAUCGUUACUUAUCUUGGUGUCACACAGGGCUGUCAGACAUCUGGGGUCCUGAUGG